GCACAUCUGUUGGAACCUACUUCUACAGAAGACCAGCUGAAACAACUAGCCUGUGGGACUGAGCAACUGCUAGGUUCUUGGACUUUUCAUCCACAGCUGACUAUUGUUGGGGAGUUGGACUACAGACUAGCACGGUGUCCUCAGAGUCCACCCACAUUGCAGCCCGUGUCAGGAUUCCCUUCACUUUGAAGGCUGAAGCAUCUCCCAUUCUACAGAAGCCAUCCAUGCAGACCCGGGAUGUCCUCCAGUAAAGAUGUCCAUGGAUGCUGGAUGCCCUGGCAAAGGGGGGUCCAUUACUCUGCAUCUCUGUACAGAACGCCUGGUGGGCGGAUCUGAUAGACAGAGGUGGAAUUUGAAGUCUGCCUGUCUCUUGAAAAUAUGCAGUCUUUCCGUCGGUCAGGCAGCUUUGCAGGUCAAAAACAAAAUCUGCGAGUUGGAAGAUAGCUCCUCUGGUGAAGGGGUUGCAGUGCAAGCAUAAACAUCCAAGCUAAAUUCUUAGAACCCACAGGAGGAAAAGUGCCUUGUGCCUGUAAUCCCAACACCAAGGAGGGUGAGCCAUGGAGUUUGCUGGUCAGCCAACCCAGCUGAGAUAUCAGCCCAAGCAAAGGAGAGAUCAGGUCUUCAAAAAACAAGGUGGAUGGUUCCUGAGGUUGGAUACCAGAGGUUGACUGCUGGCCUACAUACAUACACUCACACACACACACACACACACACACACACACACACACACACACACACAC